UUUUAUUAUAUAUUUCCUGUUCAUCCGUGGCAGCACACAAUGGGUUAACGUUUCCUCGUUCCCUUGGAAUAGUAGAUACACUCAAGCAAUAGCACAGAGACAAGAACAGAAGAAGAGACAGAGACAGGUAGCCUCUAUACUGGGCGUUCGCUUAGUUCCUGGGGCAGGAGAGUGUUUGUGCGGCCGUAAACCUGGAGUUUUCCUGGUCCCUCAGCCAGCCCACCACCCCGUUACCUAUAACAGAGUGAUCGACAUCGGGUGUGCGAAGGAUCCCUUCUCCUGUUCAGGAGGUAGGAUGUCCAGUCCAGGGGGGAAAAGGAAGAGAACGUCCAGACAUACUGCCUGUUUGAAUUGCUCCCAGCCCUUGCCUGAAUCCUGGGCUCAGGAUAAAUGUGCAGGAUGCAUGUCUACGGAACAACCAGC